CCAGCUACUUGGGAGGCUGAGGCAGGAGAAUCGCUUGAACCUGGGAGGAGGAGGUUGCAGUGAGCCGAGAUGGCACCAAUGCACUACAGACUGGGCUACCAGAGUGAAACUCUGACUCAAAAAAAAAAAAAAAAAAAAAA